rnacentral:tRNA from 1 species
GCCGAAGUGGUGGAAUUGGUAGACACGCUAGAUUCAGGGUCUAGUGGGCCUUGCGCCUGUGGGGGUUCGAGUCCCCCCUUCGGCA